rnacentral:lncRNA from 1 species
AUGAUGAGGCUAUUGGAAUUUUAUUUUGAGUAACUCAUUCUGAACAAUGAGUGAAAAAUCAGAUGCACUAUUGUAUUUAUAUUGUACAAUAUGUGUCUUUAGUACACAUGCAACAUGCUUAGAAGAACAAACUAGAAAGAAAACAAAACCAACAAAUAGCCAUUUAACUGUGUUUGUGUGGUUUUGGUAGUUUUCAUUUGUUCCUCUCGACUUUCCUGUCUUGUCUCACUUUGCCGUAACACACAUGUGUCACAGAUGCCGCCGAGUAGCACGU